UACGAAGGGGGCUAGCGUUGUUCGGAAUUACUGGGCGUAAAGCGCACGUAGGCGGAUUGUUAAGUUAGGGGUGAAAUCCCAGGGCUCAACCCUGGAACUGCCUUUAAUACUGGCAAUCUCGAGUCCGAGAGAGGUGAGUGGAAUUCCGAGUGUAGAGGUGAAAUUUGUAGAUAUUCGGAGGAACACCAGUGGCGAAGGCGGCUCACUGGCUCGGUACUGACGCUGAGGUGCGAAAGCGUGGGGAGCAAACAGG
rnacentral:rRNA from 1 species